rnacentral:rRNA from 1 species
GAUGAACGCUGGCGGCGUGCUUAACACAUGCAAGUCGAACGGGAAAUAUUUCAUUGAGACUUCGGUGGAUUUGAUCUAUUUCUAGUGGCGGACGGGUGAGUAACGCGUGGGUAACCUGCCUUAUACAGGGGGAUAACAGGCAGAAAUGGCUGCUAAUGCCGCAUAAGCGCACAGAGCUGCCUGGCGAAGUGUGAAAAACUCCGAUGGUAUAGGAUGGAUCCGGGUUGGAUUGGCUUGUUGGUGGGGUAACGGCCCACCAAGGCGACGAUCCAUAGCCGACCUGAGAGGGUGAACGGCCACAUUGGGACUGAGACACGGCCCAGACUCCUACGGGAGGCAGCAGUGGAGAAUAUUGCACAAUGGGGGAAACCCUGAUGCAGCGACGCCGCGUGAAGGAAGAAGUAUCUCGGUAUGUAAACUUCUAUCAGCAGGGAAGAUAGUGACGGUACCUGACUAAGAAGCCCCGGCUAACUACGUGCCAGCCGCCGCGGUAA